rnacentral:rRNA from 1 species
AUUGAACGCUGGCGGCAGGCUUAACACAUGCAAGUCGAGCGGGGAAGGGUAGCUUGCUACCUGACCUAGCGGCGGACGGGUGAGUAAUGCUUAGGAAUCUGCCUAUUAGUGGGGGACAACAUUCCGAAAGGAAUGCUAAUACCGCAUACGCCCUACGGGGGAAAGCAGGGGAUCUUCGGACCUUGCGCUAAUAGAUGAGCCUAAGUCAGAUUAGCUAGUUGGUGGGGUAAAGGCCUACCAAGGCGACGAUCUGUAGCGGGUCUGAGAGGAUGAUCCGCCACACUGGGACUGAGACACGGCCCAGACUCCUGCGGGAGGCAGCGGUGGGGAAUAUUGGACAAUGGGCGAAAGCCUGAUCCAGCCAUGCCGCGUGUGUGAAGAAGGCCUUUUGGUUGUAAAGCACUUUAAGCGAGGAGGAGGCUACUUAGAUUAAUACUCUAGGAUAGUGGACGUUACUCGCAGAAUAAGCACCGGCUAACUCUGUGCCAGCCGCCGCAGUAAGAC